CCCUAGUGGCUCAGUGGUAAAGAAUCUGCCUGCAAAUCAGGAGACCAGGGUUCGAUCCCCAGAUUGGGGA
rnacentral:tRNA from 1 species